rnacentral:rRNA from 1 species
AGCGAACGCUGGCGGCAGGCUUAACACAUGCAAGUCGAGCGGGCACUUCGGUGUCAGCGGCAGACGGGUGAGUAACACGUGGGAACGUACCCUUUGGUUCGGAAUAACGCUGGGAAACUAGCGCUAAUACCGGAUACGCCCUUUUGGGGAAAGGCUUGCUGCCGAAGGAUCGGCCCGCGUCUGAUUAGCUAGUUGGUGGGGUAAUGGCCUACCAAGGCGACGAUCAGUAGCUGGUCUGAGAGGAUGAUCAGCCACACUGGGACUGAGACACGGCCCAGACUCCUACGGGAGGCAGCAGUGGGGAAUAUUGGACAAUGGGCGCAAGCCUGAUCCCGCCAUGCCGCGUGAGUGAUGAAGGCCUUAGGGUUGUAAAGCUCUUUUGUCCGGGACGAUAAUGACGGUACCGGAAGAAUAAGCCCCGGCUAACUUCGUG